AGUUUGCCUUUGGCGGAGGAUGAACGCUGGCGGCGUGCUUAACACAUGCAAGUCGAACGGGAAUUACUUUAUUGAAACUUCUUUCGAUAUGAUUUAAUUCUAGUGGCGGACGGGUGAGUAACGCGUGAUUAACCUGCCUUGUCACAGGGGGAUAACAGUCAGAAAUGACUGCUAAUACCGCAUAAGCGCACAAGACCGCGUGGUCCGGUGUGAAAAACUCCGGUGGUAUAAGAUGGACCCGCGUUGGUCUAGCUAGUUGAGUGAUGCCAACGGCCCUCCAAGAGGAUCGAUCCAUAGCCGGCCUGAGAGACUGAACCCCCACUCUUAGACGAAGACACGAGCCCAGACUCCUACGCGAGGCAGCAAUGCGGAAUACUGCCCAAUGGGGGAAACCAUGAUGCCGUGACGCCGCGUGAAGGAAGUAGUAUCUGAGUAUGUAAACUUAUAUCAGCCGGGAAGAAAAUGACGGUACCUGCAUAAGAAGCCCCGGCUAACUACGUGCCAGCAGCCGCGGUAAUACGUAGGGGGCAAGCGUUAUCCGGAUUUACUGGGUGUAAAGGGAGCGCAGACGGAUGGACAAGUCUGAUGUGAAAUACCGGGGCUCAACCCCGGGACUGCAUUGGAAACUGCCCGUCUUGAGUGCCGGAGAGGUAAGCGGAAUUCCUAGUGUAGCGGUGAAAUGCGUAGAUAUUAGGAGGAACACCAGUGGCGAAGGCGGCUUACUGGACGAUAACUGACGUUGAGGCUCGAAAGCGUGGGGAGCAAACAGGAUUAGAUACCCUGGUAGUCCACGCGGUAAACGAU
rnacentral:rRNA from 1 species